rnacentral:rRNA from 1 species
AUUGAACGCUGGCGGCACGCCUAACACAUGCAAGUCGAGCGGCAGCGAGACUAGUAGCAAUACUAGUUGUCGGCGAGCGGCGGACGGGUGAGUAACACGUAGGAAUCUGCCCUUAAGCGGGGGAUAACCAAGGGAAACUUUGGCUAAUACCGCAUAAUCUCGAGAGAGCAAAGCUGCCCGCAAGGGUGGCACUUGAGGAGGAGCCUGCGUCCGAUUAGCUAGUUGGUGGGGUAAUGGCCUACCAAGGCGAUGAUCGGUAACUGGUCUGAGAGGACGACCAGUCACACUGGGACUGAGACACGGCCCAGACUCCUACGGGAGGCAGCAGUGGGGAAUAUUGGACAAUGGGGGCAACCCUGAUCCAGCGAUGCCGCGUGAGUGAAGAAGGCCUUCGGGUCGUAAAGCUCUUUAGGUUGGGAAGAAGGGCAUUGGCUGAAUAAUCCAGUACUUUGACGGUACCGACAGAAUAAGCACCGGCAAACUCUGUGCCAGCAGCCGCUGUAACAC